rnacentral:lncRNA from 1 species
CCUCCGCCCACCCUAGCGAAGUCACGGUCUGCGGCGCCUCUCGGGGCUCGUCUUCCCCGUAUCCUUCCCCGCUUCUCUCGUUCCCAGACUUCCGUCGGUGGGUCGGGCCCCGGGGCCCCCUCUUCGCGCCUGUUGCUGCGGCAGACCUGCGCACUCUCAGUGCCCCCUCGCAAGGCUACCACAGUGCCAGGGGAGGGGCGGGGGGCUUCGGGUAGGCACUGCCGAGUGCCCUCGGAGCCUGCGCUGGUCCGUGGCGCCAGCGACCGGGAGGUGGGUGGACAGAGGGGGAGGUUUUGCCAACGCCGGGAUCAAGAUCCGGGUUCCCCCCACAAAACAAUCUUGGGGGUGGGCGGAGCCUCAGACAGAAUCUGCCUCUCCUCCUCGCUCCGGAGAAGUCUCCUCCUCCUCGCCUUGCGCAACAGGCAGAGUGACUGCGUCUGUUUUUGUGACCCGUGAGGCUCCAGUGAGCUGGCCAGGGCUGCCCCGUGGUGCUGUGUCCUGACCUACGUCCGCCCGUCAAGAAGAUCACCCAAGAAGAGGUCAAAAUGAUGUUAAGUUUGCUGGAGGAGGUGCGUGUUGCCGUCCUACCUGGGCCAGCCCCAGUCUCAGCCAGGCUCCCGUUUUCACUAUGUCUGUAUGGGUAGGCGUCUUCCUGCCUGGCUGUCUCUCUAGGGGCCAAGCUGGAGGUCCCUCUUGUGGAAGACAGGUAGAUGUGGAAUGUUCAGGCUAGAGAGCUCUUAGCACCAUCCGGUCUGAUCUCUUUUUCCAUAGGGGGAAUCUGGGUCAGGUCCCACAGUGGGUCAUGGUAAGCUCUUGUCUGGUUCCUUGGAGAACUAGGGGAUGGAGGGGAUUUCCCGGAGUGGCCUUGCUUCUCUUUGACCCCUAGCUUCUCCCACGUGUCUGGGAGACCCCAGCAGCCAGGAACCCUGUUCCCCAAUGGAUGGGGGUCCUUCUGUAGAGAGAGCGGGACCUGAACACGGCAGCCUGCAUUGGUCAGUCCCUGGUGAAACAAAACAGUGUUCUGUUGGAGGAGAACAGCAAGCUGGAAGCCAUGCUGGAUUCAGCCAAGGAGGAGGUACCUGGGUGGGGAGGAGCAGGGAGGGGUGAAUCUCAGGCCUGCUGCCAACCCACUGUGCCAGGGUCUGUGCCUGCCUCUGCCCGCACCUGACCCUGGACUCCUCUUCCCUUGCCAGAUUUUACAUCUCAG